rnacentral:rRNA from 1 species
GAUGAACGCUGGCGGCGUGCCUAAUGCAUGCAAGUCGAGCGAACAGACGAGGAGCUUGCUCCUCUGACGUUAGCGGCGGACGGGCGAGUAACACGUGGAUAACCUACCUAUAAGACUGGGAUAACUUCGGGAAACCGGUGCUAAUACCGGAUAAUAUAUUGAACCGCAUGGUUCAAUAGUGAAAGACGGCUUUGCUGUCACUUAUAGCUGGAUCCGCGCCGCAUUAGCUAGUUGGUAAGGUAACGGCUUACCAAGGCAACGAUGCGUAGCCGACCUGAGAGGGUGAUCGGCCACACUGGAACUGAGACACGGUCCAGACUCCUACGGGAGGCAGCAGUAGGGAAUCUUCCGCAAUGGGCGAAAGCCUGACGGAGCAACGCCGCGUGAGUGAUGAAGGUCUUCGGAUCGUAAAACUCUGUUAUUAGGGAAGAACAAAUGUGUAAGUAACUAUGCACGUCUUGACGGUACCUAAUCAGAAAGCCACGGCUAACUACGUG